rnacentral:rRNA from 1 species
GUGUACUAUAAUGUUUUAUUAUAUAAAGUUCACGAAUAUGGGCGAGCUAAAAAGUUAUAUAAUUUGGUAUAUAUAAUAAUUGUUGCAUUAAUUAGCAAAAUAAUUUUUUAGGGGUGAAAGGCUUGUCAAGCCCAUGGAUAUCUUGAUAGGGAAGAAACAUAUAUAGUAUAUAAUUAAACCAAAAAUGCUAAGGUUUUUGGUGGGUAUUAUAGUGCAUAAUUAAAUCUUUAUUUGAAUAAUAUCUAUAGAGUUUAUCUUAUAACUAUAUAUUAGUUAGUGUAUAUACUUUUUAUUUCCUAAUAAUUAAGAAUGUAUUUAUUUUGAUAUAAUGUAUACAUUAGUAUUUCAUAAGUUUUAUGUAAGGAACUCGGCAAAAAAAUUUUCGACUGUUUACCAAAAACAUAGCUCUAUGUUAUUAUUUAGGGUUGUCCCUGCUCAAUGGUGUUUACUAAAUAGCCGCAGUACCUUGACUGUGCAAAGGUAGCAUAAUCAGUUGGCUUAUAAUUGAAGUCUGGAAUGAAGGGGUUUACGGAAAUUGACUGUCUCAAUUAAAAUCUUUAGAAUUUACUUAAUAAGUGAAAAUUCUUAUAUAUAGAAGCUAGACGAGAAGACCCUAGAAAUUUUAUAAAAUAUUUUAUAUUUUCAUUUUGUUGGGGCGACAAGGUAACAGAUAAACUUACCUAAAGUAAUAAGAAAAUAAUUAUUUGGGCAAUUAAAUUACUCUAGGGAUAACAGCACAAUUUAAUAUUAAGUUUGUGACCUCGAUGUUGGACUAGGAACUGUUUUAUUCAAAAAAUAGAACAAUUGGCUCUGUUCGAGCUUUUCUUCCUACAUGAUCUGAGUUCAGACCGG